AUUGAACGCUGGCGGCAGGCUUAACACAUGCAAGUCGAGCGAGCGGCGGACGGGUGCGUAAUGUCUGGGAAACUGCCUGAUGGAGGGGGAUAACUACUGGAAACGGUAGCUAAUACCGCAUACUGUCAGAUGUGCCCAGAUGGGAUAAGCUGGUGGGUGGGGUAAUGGCUCACCUAGGCGACGCUCCCUAGCUGGUCUGAGAGGUUGACCAGCCACACUGGAACGGAGACAUGGUCCAGACGCCUACGGGAGGCAGCAGUGGGGAAUAUUGCACAAUGGGCGCAAGCCUGAUACAGCCAUGCCGCGUGUGUGAAGAAGGCCUUCGGGUUGUAAAGCACUUUCAGCGAGGAGGCGUUACUCGAAGAAGAAGCACCGGCUAACUCCGUGCCAGCAGCCGCGGUAAUUC
rnacentral:rRNA from 1 species